AGUGAACGCUGGCGGCAGGCCUAACACAUGCAAGUCGAACGGCAGCACAAGAGAGCUUGCUCUCUGGGUGGCGAGUGGCGACCGGGUGAGGAAUGCAUCGGAAUCUGCCCAUUUGUGGGGGAUAACCUCGGGAAACCGGGACUAAUACCGCAUACGACCUACGGGUGAAAGCAGGGGAUCUUCGGACCUUGCGCAGAUGGAUGAGCCGAUGCCGGAUUAGCUAGUUGGAGGGGUAAAGGCCCACCAAGGCGACGAUCCGUAGCUGGUCUGAGAGGAUGAUCAGCCACACUGGGACUGAGACACGGCCCAGACUCCUACGGGAGGCAGCAGUGGGGAAUAUUGGACAAUGGGCGCAAGCCUGAUCCAGCCAUGCCGCGUGUGUGAAGAAGGCCUUCGGGUUGUAAAGCACUUUUGUUGGGAAAGAAAAGCAGCCGGUCAAUACCCGGUUGUCAUGACGGUACCCAAAGAAUAAGCACCGGCUAACUUCGUG
rnacentral:rRNA from 1 species